rnacentral:rRNA from 1 species
CCUACGGGAGGCAGCAGUGGGGAAUAUUGGACAAUGGGCGCAAGCCUGAUCCAGCAAUGCCGCGUGUGUGAAGAAGGCCUUCGGGUUGUAAAGCACUUUAGGCAGGGAAGAAAAAAUCGGCGAUAACAUCGCCGAUCUUGACGGUACCUGAGGAAUAAGCACCGGCUAACUCUGUGCCAGCAGCCGCGGUAAUACAGAGGGUGCAAGCGUUAAUCGGAUUUACUGGGCGUAAAGCGUGUGUAGGUGGUUAGAAAAGUCGAUUGUGAAAUCCCUGGGCUCAACCCGGGAACUGCUUUCGAGACUGUUUGACUAGAAUUCGGUAGAGGGAGGCGGAACUCCAGGUGUAGCGGUGAAAUGCGUAGAUAUCUGGAAGAACACCAAUGGCGAAGGCAACCUCCUGGGCCUGAAUUGACACUGAGACACGAAAGCGUGGGGAUCAAACAGGAUUAGAUACCCUGGUAGUCCACGCCGUAAACGAUGAGAACUUGACGUCGGUUUGCUCUGCGAAUCGGUGUCGUAGCUAACGCGAUAAGUUCUCCGCCUGGGGGAGGACGGCCGCGAGUAGUAAACGUUAAAGUAGAAGUUAGUACGGCGUGAGACGUAGACCGAACGGACGACCGACCGAGGGGAGGGAGGG